rnacentral:lncRNA from 10 species
GGAUAUAUUUGUUAAUUUGGUCUUCCUGAUAUCAGUGAUGUUAAGGAAGCCAGAAGACAAACCAGCUGUAAGAAGCAAUGAAGGGCUGUGCUGUUAGGAGAGGAAAUGAAGAACACUAUUUUAAACACGAAUGAAUGGUAGUUCCUUUCAGCCAUGCCCCCAGAAUUGGAAGCAGAUAGAUGGAAAAUGCAUAGGGUAACUCCGUUCAAAUGAAUCUACGGAUGUAUCAGGGUUGGGAAACCAAUGCAAGAGCAUUCACUCCUGUUAAGGUCAUUCUUUGUCCUAAUUGCAAACUCCUCCUCACCUCCCUCUCUGUUUGCAUUUCCUAAAAAGAGCUGUGUCAGAGCCUUGGAAGUAAACAUGUGUUGCUAUUGGAGCUGCUGCUUUGAGAGGCAACUGUGUAGUAGACCACCGAGGGCACGGAGUUUGACUUUGUGUGGACAGGUUUGCUCAACUCUGACAUUAGCCUGAACAGGUCCUAGUGAUGGGGCUUUUGGUUCUCUAGCUAUUGCAAGCCAGUUUGAGCUCAUCCUUAGGAGGGGGAAAUUCUGGAAUGAACAAACAUCAGUGAUGCUACAGACAGUCACCUGUAGGAGACUCAGAAGAGUUCACAUCUUCCUGGAGCUGGAAUCAGGAACAAUUCAGACCUCUACUUUCACCUAUUGACUCCCUGCGAUGUGCCAGGCACUGUGUUAGGGUCCUGCAUACCAGUGAAACUACUAACAUCAGCUGGUCUAAAGAACCCCACUGAUGUCAGCUGAUCUGGAGGACCUCACAAGGAGCUGACUCACCCAACAAUGAGGUUUCCACAUCCUGAUGUUUUCAUCCUUCUGACCCUGACCAAUCAACAACCUCAAUUUUCCAGUCCCUUGCCUUCGAUGAUCCCUUUAAAAACUCUAGCCCAGAACUCCUCAGGGAAAUAGAUUUGAGGUCUCCUCCCAUCUCCUCAUUCAACUGCCCUGCAAUCAUUAAACUCUUUCUCUGCUACAAACCCUGCUGUCUCAGUAUAUUAGUCUGUUAUUGCACAGCAGGCUAAUAUAAAUAGGAACCUCUUGGUCCUGUAACAGAGCCAUAAAUGUUUAGGAAAAUAGGUCUCAAGAAUCCAGGAAUUUUAUUUUAAUAAAUGUCUUCAAUAAUAUGCAAUCUUUUCAUUCUAAGCAGUAGAUCUAACACUAUUCUGAUCAUCUGAGUAACUACCUUAUAAUUAAGUUGCCACUUAUUAUCAGUACAUGAGGUUGUCUGUGUGUCUAUAUGCAAAACCU